rnacentral:lncRNA from 1 species
ACCACCGCCCCCUUGUACUUUCUCUCUUAUUUUUCAUUGGAUUUUUGUUUCGUUUUCAGGUCGUGGUGCGAUCGGUAUGGAGAAGUUGUUCUGGACGUGGUGAGGAAAGAGUUCAAGGAGCAUGUUGGGGAGAUGGAGAGCUUGAGAAAUGCGGCAAGAGAGAAACACGGUAUCCACUCAGCGCGAUGGACUGCAUUCCAAGAUGACGAGGAGAAUUGUCACCCGAAUCUCUUUGCUCCGCCGCGAGACAACAACCACAAUUAUACUUCAAAGUUCCAUGAAACCAAUCCGUUCUGUGAUGAUCACAUUCACACCACCCCUAGGAAGCUGAGAUCGAAACCGGCAACUUAUACACAAGAGCAGAACCAGAACCAGAAUCCCUUUUGGAUCCCGGGCACGGCUACUAAUGCGUUUUCGUUGAGUAGCUGCUUAAUAUGUAUUUUGAUUGAGAGAUCGCUUGAUAUGUUGUAUGAACUUUGAGAGAAGAACGCUGUUCUUCCAAGCAUUCAAACUUUAUGUUUGAUUUGUAAAUGUAGGCAAUGUAUUAUCUCCUUCAAUGUUUCGGAACUCGAUUCGCUCCUUGAUUUUUAUUUUCUUAGUUCUUCUCACUCACUAUUUGAAAUCCUCUAAAGGGCCUUCAUGCAAAUAUCCAACACGCGUGUAAUACAAGAAACAAAUCAAUCGAAACAUACGACAUGAUCAUCAGGAGUUGGGGUUACUUGCGAUGCAGGUAAAGUGGUCGAAUUGGAUUGGAAAUCAAGUUAAAAAUCGCAAAUUCGGCAGCAAGAGGAAUUUUUUGCAGACACCUGAACCCCGAGUCGUCCUAACCAGAGACUAUACCUUGACAACAAAACUAGCAAGAUUUAUUCAAGACAUUCAAGUAAAGGCAAAGGAAUCUGCAAGCUUUUGAGCAAAAUGGAAGGUCCGUUACCAAUAAUUCCAGCAAGAAACCCACUAUGUGAAAAAGAUAAAAGAAAAAGCAGAUAACGCUUCACCCCAGUCGUGAAAAGCAAUCAUGCUUAUACACCUUGGGGCGGAUUAAAAGAACUUUACAACAUUACAAAGAACUUAAAGACAUUAUAGCUAUCCUUGGGUUUCAAUCCCUAAAGAACUUCAAGACGUUAUAGCUAUCCUUGGGUUUCAAUGCUCACUGGUCCCCUCGCUCUUAACAAUUAACAAUCUAACUUACUAACGCUAUCGUUUGUCUAAAAAUAAAAGCCAAAAAUACAUAACCAAAAAACACACUAUAAGAUCCCACAUCGCCCACACAGUGAUCCUUAAAUGUAUAUUCUCAUCCCUAUCUAGCACGAGACAUUUUGGGAGCUCACUAGAUUCGGGUUCCGUAGGAACUCCAAAGUUAAGCGAGAAGGAAGCUAGAGCACUCCCAGGAUGGGUGACUCACUGGGAAGUUGCUCGUGUGUUCCCAGAAGGCGUGGUCGGGACCCAAAGCGGACAAUAUCGUACUACGGUGGUGGAGCGGACCUAGGAAGUGGUCCGCCCCGGGCCGGGAUGUGACAAACACCAAGGUAAAAAGGGAAAAUACUGAAAGAAAAAAAAACGAAAAUCCCAGGGUUUGCUAUGUUUGAAGCCUCUUUGUUGAGAUGAAGAUGCCAAUUCAUGCACAUUGAUAUGUAAGUAUCUCGUUCUUUCAAUCACUAUAAAUCCGCAUCAAGGACGGCAGACGCUACAAUAUCGUGGAUUUCGGAAAAAUUCAGAUACAAGUCAGUCUUGGGGGACCAAAACAUGUCCUGGUAGAUGCGAAGAACCAUCUUUAACUAUAUACAUUACUGUGUAGUAUGUACAAUUAAAUCAAAGAGAAGAUAUCUCCGAGUUAGGGACAGAACAGUCGGUGAAACCCUCACGAACAUCUCCUCGGCAAAGCGGGCAAACUCUGUAAGCAGGAAUGAACAGAGAGAAUUUCGGUGAGAAAAAAUACAUGGGGAAAUGAAGGACAAUCAUGAAGGGGGGAAAAACAGAGGAUGGCAAUGACAAUACCCGUGUAUCUCUUUGAGCCACUUAUCAACGCAUGACAUGUGAUACUCGUGAUGGCAGGGAAGAACUCGAAUUUUGUCUCCUUCCUCAUACUCAGCGAGGCAUAUGUAACACCUAUCAAUUAUUAACUCACCAUGAUCAAACAAAUUCAUUAUGCUCCCUACUGAUGAAAUCAUUUAAGUAAAACUUACUGUUCAACAUCAUCCCCGGACUUUGGUUUGUCAACCUUUGUGUGACUUUUAAGAGGAAAACCAUCAACAAGAGAUGCUGGGGCAGGAGCUGAGACCAUCGACAGUGAAAGUGACACAGGUUGGCGGUGAAUCUCAUCCAAAACCUGCACAUCGCACAUUACAACAAAAUUAGGUUUGAUACAUUCAUAAGGUACACAGUAAUCUGUUGUGUAAUAUCUGCCCCUAAGCUUAACCGUCAAACAUAGAUAAAAACUGCGCAAACCAUAUCACAGCCGUUCAACCUAGAUUGGUAAACAUGCAGCCAAAGCCCUCAAAGAGACCUCAAGAAGAAGAAUAUACUAAAAUCAUCGCUGAUUUAAUUACGUUGCUUAAAUACCCUCCUAACUUAAGACAUAUGCAAGAGUGCAGAAAGAAAAUUACCUCAAAUAGAGCUUCGGCGAGCAUGACAAUUCUUGAUAUACUUGCCCGAGUACUAGACUCUUCAGCCAUCAAGAAUGAGCCACAUGAGCACAUGCCACGAGGGUGGAUUCCUGUGGGACAAGAGGUAUUACGCUGGCCAUUAUCAUCAAGGCCAACACGAAGUCUUUCCCAGACCUACAAAGAGUCAUGCAGAUGCAAAUCAAUGAAAAUUACUAGUGGGACCCCAAAAAAUAAAGCUGCUAUAGUUUACGGAUUUCUCCGGCCCGUAAAACAUCUGGAUAUAACACUUCAUAAAGUAUAAAAGAACCUUUGAUGAAUGAUAUAUUUGUAAACCAUGUAAAUGAACAUACACAUAUACAAAAUACAGUUAAGCCCCCAUACUCUCGCAAAUGAAAAAACUCAAUUUUAAGAUCCAAGUUAAGCCACGUGACUGAAACAUCAUAAUAUUUUUUAAUGUUAAAAUCUAUCACCUCAGAUCUAGAAUGUCGCCGUCGUUCACUCGAGUUGGGAAUUCUAUUAGCCCGGUGACCAGAAUCAACUCCAAUUUCAUCAUCAAAGAAAUCACCACUCAAACCAAGCAGCCAUCUGUCAUGAAAUCCCAUAUCCUCGGUAUCAUCAGUAGAGAAAAGAAUGGUUGGUGAAUCAAUAAACCUCCUGGAGCUGCGCCUUGAAAAUGCAUCCCAGAACAGUCGCCUGCCAUUCCUUCUAGCCUCACGAUUACUUGCAUCAGCAUUGCUACUCCUCAAAAAGUUGGAAGAAAUGCUCAUAACAUCAACAUGAAGUACACUUCCAUCUUCCUGGCCUUGUUCCCUAUUGGACACAAGGAAUCCUAAACCAGAAGGUAUUGCCUCCCGAAGGGAAUCAUUUCCAAGUGAGUCGAAAGUCGACGGAGUUUCAGAAACAUUAGCAGAAUCAGUAUCAGCAUUAAAACCCUGUACACCCCUUACGUCAGCCACAUGAUUCUCAACAGACACUUCCUGAGAACGGGAAUUCCGAAUCCCUUGUGGAGAUGAGCUACUUGGAAGCAUAACCUCGGGACAGGUCUCAGAUACAUUCUUGUCUGCUGAAAUGUCAAUGCCAUUGACUGAAUCCACAUUAGCAGAACCAUUCAAAGAGACUGUUUCUGAAGAUUGUUCUUGUCUAAACGAAGUACUAGCGGUAGUACUAUUAUCCCUACAAGAUUGAUCAUGACUAUAAUCGGCACUUACCUGAUGAGGUAUUAGUUCUUUACUUUUGGACAAGCACUUCCCCCGGUUAAUUGUGUCAACACUGCUUAAUCCUUCUUCAACAGUGCUCUCAGAUGAUGAUCCAAUUUCAAUAAUGGGGCAGGUGAACAGUGGUCCACUACUGGAGACCAACGAGGAUCCUUCUCCAGAGUUCCGGACUUGAUUGAUAUCAAGAUCAGAUUGCUCUGCAUAUUUUACACGACACUCAGGUGCGUGAUCUUCCAUCUGCAGGAAAAGUACUGAAGCAAAUCAGUCUCCUUAUGCAAUCUAUAUGACUAUAACUACCAAGUACAAAAUGAUUCACGAAAUUUGAAGGGUAUUGGUAGAAAAGGUCAAAAAACACUAUCAAGGCAUGAAGCAAAUCAGUCUCCAUAUGCAAGCUAUAUGACCAUAACUACCAGGUACAAAAUGAUUCACGAAAUUUGAAGGGUAUUGGUAGAAAAGGUCAAAAUACACUAUCAAGGCAUGAAGCAAAUCCGUCUCCUUAUGCAAUCUAUAUGACUAUAACUACCAGGUACAAAAUGAUUCACGAAAUUUGAAGGGUAUUGGUAGAAAAGGUCAAAAUACACUAUCAAGGCAUGAAGCAAAUCAGUCUCCUUAUGUAAUCUAUAUGACUAUAACUACCAAGUACAAAAUGAUUCACGAAAUUUGUAGGGUAUUGGUAGAAAAGGUCAAAAUACACUAUCAAGGCAUCAAUACAACUACGUAACACCACAGUUCUUUGGCCACCAAAAAAGGUAUUAAACUUACGUUUCUAUACUGUCCAUCAUAAGAGAUGUGCAUUUACUCCCAAAUGAACACAAGUAACACAAGAAUAAAUAACUUCAGUUAUACGCUAAAUAGACUAAUGCUAGGUAUCUCAACUUCAAACCAACACCAAGCAAAAUUUCUGCUUCAUGACUUCAUGGAAAUAAUAUAUUGAGGUUGUCAUCACAAGUGCAUCGCAAAGCACUAAAUAAAAACAACUGCAAUCAUUUGAUAUCUAAUUACAUGCCUCUACUUCUCCAGAAGAUUCCUAAUACGUUCGUCAUGAGGACUCCCAUGAACAAUAAUAGACUUGCACACAAUUAUAUACUUAUAUUCUAGCAAAAUAUCUUUACUCAUCCAAACUUUUCUAAAUCUUCCCUAUCUCCCGAGAAUGGGGGCAUAUAUACACAGAAACAUUUUUACCAACCACUUCACACUACUACAUCAGCAGCAUGAUUGAUUCCCAGCUCAAGAACAUAAGUUGCGCUAAAGACUACGUGAUCAUUUAUCCGCACCAUUAAGAACCUUGACCUUCAAGUUCUACGAUCGUAAUCAAACUUUCUCCAACCAUUUCCCUGAGCAUCCUACCAACCACUCAUCGGGGAUCAUCAUUAAAGUUCAUAUUCAAAAACACUAAAAAAUCAAACAACAUAGUUCAGACCCCGAAAACAAAGUUAAAUCCUUUUUCCUCAUUCACGAUUGUUAUACUGGACUUGAACAAAUGUAUACAUUAAAACAAACAUAACUCGAACUGUCAAUUCAAUGUCCCCAUUAAUUAAAUCCCCAAACUUUUUUCAACAACACGGUCGCAUAAUUAGCAGUUUUAAAAUAUGAAUACAAUAUUCACAAUUGCAGGGAAAUUAUAACGAAAAUUCAAAGUAACUGAGUCAUUAUGAUAUUACCGAGCACAGGGCCAAUCUUCUGCAUCAGCUGGACAAAUCCCAUAGAUUUUUAUUGGAUUGUAACUUGAAUUGAGGAAAAUCAAACCCCCAAGAAAAUUAAUUUAAUGAAAAAAGCUUAAAAUUCUUCUAAUUUGCACCAAAUGAUCAAAUCCCAAAUCAUCCAAAACCAGUAAAAAUCGAAUUUUGCAUCAAAAAAUGUAAAAAGUAUGAGAAAUCCAAAAAUGGGCAUUGACGAUUGAAUUGAAGGCAUCGAUUUUAGUGGAGGACGAUGAAGAAGAAGAAGAAAAGGGUACCUCGUGAGUAGCACGUGCAGAGGAGCCACCACAGACGAAAGAGGAGAGUAUGGAACGACUGGCGGUGCGAUUGACUCGGGGCCGAGAUGGGCGCGAGCCCAGUCGACUGCUGCUCGAACCCAUUUGAGAGAGAGAGAGAGGAAGGAGAGAGAGAGAGAGAGAGAGAGAGAGAGAGAGCGCUUCAGAGAUGGUGAUGAAUGAUGAUAAUUGAAGCAAACCGGCUGAGAGAGAGAGAGCUUUCCAUUUUUCCUUUUUUAUUUCAAAUUCAAUUUUCAUUGUGAACUAAUGGUUUCUACAGUGGACCAGGCUUGACCGACCCAUCAAAUAUAUGGGUCUGGAUCAUCAAGUUUCGGCCCAAUGUAUUCAGUAAAAAACAAAGCUAAGAGCAACUCCAUAUUUAAAAAAUGAGAUGACUCAAAGUCCAUUUAAUCCACCAAAAUGAAUAGUAAUUGACUUUAAUGAACAAUAAUUGUCCAAGUGCAUCAAUUCCUAAAAAAUGAGCUGGGUAAGAGUUUAGUCAAUUCGUAUUAAAAUAUUAUUAAUUUUUUUUAUAAAAAAUUAAAAAAUAAUUUUAUUUUUAAUUUCGGAUAGAAUUUUUAACCUCUUGUCACGUUACGUGUCAUUUUCCGAAAGUACAAUUUUUGUGAAAGAUGGUUAGGUAUAUAUAUAUAUGUAUAUAAUCUUUUAUUUUUUUCUGUAUUUUUAAACAAAUUUUUAUAAUUUUUUAUUAAGUUAAUUAAUCUGGAUCAUUGGAUUUCAAAAAAUAAAAAAAUCCAAUAGCCUAAAAAUGGACAUGUGACCCAUGGUAAGAUUCUGAUAUUUUUUUUAAUGCUGGAACGCACACCUACGCAAGCGUGUAUCCCACGGGCCAACAGCAAAAAAAAAAAUUCACAUGGCUGACGUCAGCUUGGCCUCAUGUAGGCCGGUCUAUUGCUCAGUCCAUUAUGUGUUGGGCUCAAAGGUGGCCUCCACUUUGGGCCAACCUAUUGGGUGGGGUGAAGUUGGUUUUUUUUUUUUUUGGGGGGGGGGGGGCAGCCUAAAAAUUAGACUUUGAGCUAGCACAUUUGUUAGGGAUGAAAUGCUCUAAUAGAAAAAAUGUUAGGCUUAUCAUAUUUUUAAUAUUUCAUGUGUAUAACAUUUUUAAUAAAUAUGGGAUCUACAGUGUUAUUUGCACACUAAUUUUUAUCUCUCACAUAUUCUUGUUAAUUUUUAUUGACUCAUCUUCUUCAAUUCAUAUUGUCGACCGAAAAUUAAGAGGAGUGCGUGAGAAGAAAAAUGAGUGUGUAGAUAACGCUAUUGUAUAAAAAAUUUGAUAAAUAUAGUAUUUACUCUUAUGAUAGAGAUAGGGUUACGUGUUUGGUAUAUAUACGAGUACAAUGAAGCCAUGACAUUUGUAGUGGUGAUUGGUUACAUUGGUAUACUUGAGAUGUGAGGCAAAUUUAUUACCAUCACAAAGAUAAUUAUGAAACUUAUGGGCCUUCUAUUUUACUAAAAAUUGACCUCCAUCGUCCAUAUAUGAAACUUAAACUUGGAGAAAGAUCGUAUACGUUUUAUGAAAGGUUUUUUUAUCUGACAUGGAAUGAGAUAUGGUUUUCUUAACUAAGAUGUGAAAGACAAAAUUAUUCCCAUCACAAAGAUAAUUAUGGAACAUGGGCCUUAUAUUCUACUAAAAUUUGACAUAUUAACUACAUUUUACUAGAAAGAUGUACAUAAAGUUAUACCCAUUUUGGGAAAGUUAUCUAAUUUGACAGAGAAAAUCGAUAAUUUCAAAUGUGUCAAGACGUGUGAUUAUCUCUGUUUAAUUAUAAAUUGGAGGUAGAGAAAAAUGGCAGCACUUUAAUUGUAGUGUGUUUGAAUAGUUGAUCAAGGUAUCGGCAGAGAAAUAUCGAGUUGAAUUGUAGGUAUUCAACUACCAGCAAGACAACCAUGGAUCCAUGGGUGUGACUAGCAGUUGGUGCAUAUGAUGGACACGUUUUACCACUAACAGACGAAACACCAUGUCUGUAUCUACAUAGCUUUCUAUCCUUUCUCCACGUACUUCUGCACCCCAUUAACAAAAAGGCAAAUUAAAAUAUAUUAUACAAAAGUAGACCUAACUUUAAUGCUUUAUCCACUCCUAUAAAAUCUACAUAAUCGUCGAGUUCCAACACACUUCAGAACAAUAUAUCCACUUAUAGUUGCAGGGAACUAAGAAAAAAAAGAAGAUCGACUGAGAAACAUGCCUGACCAUCCACCACCACCACCGGGCCAUGAUCACGGACCCCCUCAUCCUGAGCCUCCUCCGCCGCACGCCCAUGCUCCUCCUCCUCCUCAGCCGGGCGGUGGACCUCACGCACCUCCCCCUGGCCCUCCUGAACCACACAAGCCACAUCAUGAUCCCCAUCAUGGUCCCCAUCAUGGUCCUGGUCAUCACCACCCAUGAAUCAUCAUUCAUCGUAUGAUGAAUAUAUACAUGCUUGCAUGCAUGUAUGUAGAUGUAUGGUGUACGUUGUGAUGUAAUUUCUAGUUUUAACUAAGUCGGUGAGUCCUCUCAUGAUCAUGCAGUUUUAAUGAAUGAUGACUUCGUGUACCCAAAAAGUAUGCAUGAUUAUGUAAAUUAAUAAGAUCGGUUUGUGGUUUUAAUUUCCUCUUAAUUAAUUAGUUAAUUUGGUACGCACUGAGCUGCUGAUCAAAGUGUGGUUUAAGAUGCAAAAUUUCCAUUCCUUUCAUGUUUUAAUUAAGAUGCAAAUCUAAUUACAAACAAAUACGCUGCAACUAACUAAAAACCCUACGUGCAGCAGGCCAUGGAUAAUUUUUGGUCUUUAAUUCGAUCUUUUACUUUAGAUAAAUGUCUAAUUUAAUUGCUGCAAAAGCUAGCUUCUGAAGUAUGAUCAGUGUUAAGAAACAAAUAAAAUUAAGAUAUAUAUCAUCAUUAUAAUUAAAUUUUCUGAUGUAGGAGAACAAAUGAAAUAUGCGUAUAUUGUCGGUGCGUAAUCCGCACUAAUAAUACAACGUUAAAUAAAAAUAUGUAUGUAUUAUUGUAUUAUACAAAUGUAAUGCCACAGUAAGGUUAUUUCCAACCGAAUGAGGGCCAAAAUGCUAUCUUUAGCUCUAUAGUCUUGCAAGAAAUUAUAUUUUAAUGAAUAGUGCUAUGCUAUAUUUUAUACAUCUCAAACU